rnacentral:rRNA from 1 species
AUUGAACGCUGGCGGCAGGCCUAACACAUGCAAGUCGAGCGCGAAAGUCUUCGGAUGAGUAAAGCGGCGGACGGGUGAGUAAUGCAUGGGAAUCUGCCUGGUAGUGGGGGACAACGUUUCGAAAGAGACGCUAAUACCGCAUACGCCCUACGGGGGAAAGGGGGGGGUCUUCGGACCUCUCGCUAUCAGAUGAGCCCAUGUCAGAUUAGCUAGUUGGUAGGGUAAAGGCCUACCAAGGCGACGAUCUGUAACUGGUCUGAGAGGAUGAUCAGUCACACUGGAACUGAGACACGGUCCAGACUCCUACGGGAGGCAGCAGUGGGGAAUAUUGGACAAUGGGGGCAACCCUGAUCCAGCCAUGCCGCGUGUGUGAAGAAGGCCCUAGGGUUGUGAAGCACUUUCAGUGGGGAGAAAGAUAAUUCACCUAAUACGUGAGUUAAUUGAUGCUACCCACAGAAGAAGCACCGGCUAACUCCGUGCCAGCCGCCGCAGUAAAAC